rnacentral:rRNA from 1 species
UACGGAGGGUGCAAGCGUUAAUCGGAAUUACUGGGCGUAAAGCGCGCGCAGGCGGCGGUGCUGGCCCGGCGUGAAAGCCCCCGGCUCAACCGGGGAGGGUCGUCGGGGACCGCACCGCUUGAGGGCGGUAGGGGCUGGUGGAAUGCCUGGUGUAGUGGUGAAAUGCGUAGAGAUCAGGCGGAACACCCGUGGCGAAGGCGGCCAGCUGGGCCGUCCCUGACGCUGAGGCGCGAAGGCGUGGGGAGCGAACGGG